rnacentral:rRNA from 1 species
GACGAACGCUGGCGGCGUGCUUAACACAUGCAAGUCGAACGGAAAGGCCCUGCUUUUGUGGGGUGCUCGAGUGGCGAACGGGUGAGUAACACGUGAGUAACCUGCCCUUGACUUUGGGAUAACUUCAGGAAACUGGGGCUAAUACCGGAUAGGAGCUCCUGCUGCAUGGUGGGGGUUGGAAAGUUUCGGCGGUUGGGGAUGGACUCGCGGCUUAUCAGCUUGUUGGUGGGGUAGUGGCUUACCAAGGCUUUGACGGGUAGCCGGCCUGAGAGGGUGACCGGCCACACUGGAGCUGAGGCAGGGGCCAGACUACUACGGGGGGCAGCAGGAGGGGAUCGUACGCAAGGGGCGAGAGCGUGAGGGAGCAGCGCCGCGGGAGUGAGGGAGGUCUGCGGAGCGUAAAGCUCGGUUAGGAGGGAAGAACAAAUGUGCACGGAACCAUGACCGGCUUGAAGGUACCUAAUCAGAAAGACACGGCUAACUACGUG